rnacentral:lncRNA from 1 species
UCUUUUUUUUACAUUUUUUUCGUAUUUGUUUACUUUUGAACCAAGGUUAUUGUCUAAGAAAUGAGCUCCUCAACAACUUAAAACAACCUUUUGGUGAACAUAUGGAUCUUCAUAGCAAAUUGAAGAUUGUAAAGGAUUACAAUAUACGUGAGAAUUUUGUCUGCAUUAAAAUUAAAUUACCUUGAUGAUAGAGAAUACUGUUAAAUGACUACAACAUACGUAAGAAUCUGUGAUAAUAGAUAAUACUGUUAAAUGACUGCCAUAUACGUAAGAAUUUUGAUAAUAAAGAGAAUACUGUUUAAUGUGCUGAAAAGAUAAGAAAAAGCCUUGAGUCUGAUGGAGAUGUAACUGGAAUCUUUUGACCGCACGUGUAAAUCUCCUUUAUGAAAGAUAUGUUAUGAGAAGGUGUGUUGAAUGAUCGAAAUCUUGACAAUAACAUGACAUUAUCUUAGUAUGACACUCUUUUUUGUUUAUUGUUUUUUCUUGACAGCUGUGAUCCCUAUAGAGCAUGAAAAGACAUUGUAACUUCUUACUUUGAUUUUUGUAUUUCAUUUGAUUGAGUGAAAGACAUUGUAACUACAUGAGAAAUAAGAUCCUACUCCGGAUCUUCGGAAGUUUUGAGUAAUUUCAUGACCAUGAGUGAGGAAUGUAGACAAAUUAUUUGUGGCCAAGUAUUGAUUAGAUUACCUAAUUUAUAUUUUUCUGAAUGGUUAAGGUUACUCAAUGCUAUUGCUAACUACUAGAUUUGAGGCAAUAAUUAUUC